rnacentral:rRNA from 1 species
CAAAACAUCGCCUACUGCACACUAUAUUAGGCAAUGCCUGCCCAGUGACCAUGUGUUUAACGGCCGCAGUAUUCUGACCGCGCAAAGGUAGCGUAAUCACUUGUCUUCUAAAUAAAGACCAGUAUGAACGGCCACACGAAGACUUGACUGUCUCCCCUGUCCAAUCAAUGAAACUAAUCUCCUCGUGCAGAAGCGAGGAUAUACCCAUUAGACGAGAAGACCCUAUGGAGCUUUAAACUCAAUAUUAAUUAUAUUUCUUUCUUCUCUAAGGAACUAACAUAACUUUUAACUUAAUAUCAGUUUUAGGUUGGGGCGACCAUGGAGAAAAAAAUAUCCUCCCUGAUGAUUUUCUAACCAAGAGCCACAGCUCUAAGUAUUAAGAUACUUAACUCCCAUUGACCCAUCUUAUGAUCAACGAACCAAGUUACCCUAGGGAUAACAGCGCAAUCCAUUUCAAGAGUUCCUAUCGACAAAUGGGUUUACGACCUCGAUGUUGGAUCAGGGCAUCCUAGUGGUGCAACCGCUACUAACGGUUCGUUUGUUCAACGAUUAAAGCCCUACGUGA